AUUGAACGCUGGCGGCAUGCCUUACACAUGCAAGUCGAGCGGCAGCACGGGGGCAACCCUGGUGGCGAGCGGCGAACGGGUGAGUAAUACAUCGGAACAUGCCCAGUCGUGGGGGAUAACACUUCGAAAGAAGUGCUAAUACCGCAUACGUCCUGAGGGAGAAAGCGGGGGAUCUUCGGACCACGCGCGAUUGGAGUGGCCGAUGUCAGAUUAGCUAGUUGGUGGGGUAAAGGCCUACCAAGGCAACGAUCUGUAGCUGGUCUGAGAGGAUGAUCAGCCACACUGGGACUGAGACACGGCCCAGACUCCUACGGGAGGCAGCAGUGGGGAAUUUUGGACAAUGGGGGCAACCCUGAUCCAGCCAUUCCGCGUGAGUGAAGAAGGCCUUCGGGUUGUAAAGCUCUUUCGGCAGGAACGAAACGGCGAGCUCUAACAUAGCUUGCUAAUGACGGUACCUGAAGAAGAAGCACCGGCUAACUACGUGCCAGCAGCCGCCGUAAGAC
rnacentral:rRNA from 1 species